UGAUCCAGCAAUGCCGCGUGUGCGAAGAAGGCCUUCGGGUUGUAAAGCACUUUUGUCAGGGAAGAAAUCCUUUGGGCUAAUACCCUAGGGGGAUGACGGUACCUGAAGAAUAAGCACCGGCUAACUACGUGCCAGCAGCCGCGGUAAUUAUAAAGA
rnacentral:rRNA from 1 species